UACGUAGGGUGCAAGCGUUGUCCGGAAUUAUUGGGCGUAAAGAGCUCGUAGGCGGUUUGUCGCGUCUGCUGUGAAAACUCGGGGCUUAACUCCGGGCCUGCAGUGGGUACGGGCAGACUAGAGUGCGGUAGGGGAGACUGGAAUUCCUGGUGUAGCGGUGAAAUGCGCAGAUAAUCAGGAGGAACACCGGUGGCGAAGGCGGUUCUCUGGGCAUUACCUGACGCUGAGGAGCGAAAGUGUGGGGAGCGAACAGG
rnacentral:rRNA from 1 species